UCUUCUGCUGUCAAAUAGAGCAAUCGAACGACUUCCAGUAAAAAUUUGUGCAAAUUUGCAAAUUUUUUUUAGUUCCCGCACAGCUAAAGCUAUGACGAAAUUUUUAACGGAAGUCAUUAAGUCAUAACGCGCAACUGUUUUAAAACAAAAUUUAAUAAAUAUUCCAAAACACUUUUUUGUUACUCGUCCAGGAUCUUCUAAGACUAUUCUGAAUUACUCGUAAGCAAAUCAUAUGGAAGAUUCACGGCAGCUGAUUGUACAUACAGGAUUGACCCGAUGGAAUCCUUCAUCGGCAAGGGCUGCCGCCUCAGUAUAAAACACACUGCUCAACGACAACAUUCGCGGAAUACUCUUCCAGAAGAUUCGUUUUGAGGACAUAACUCCUCACUGUAUGUGCCACUGUAGGUAACUUGUAUCUUAUGCUGAAAAGAGCUACUGCUGUCUUACGCGAAUUUUCGCCUAGACCACUUCCCGAAGUAUAUAUCUACGAGUGCUGGGAAACUAUCCCCUAACGAAGCGGAUCCAGAAUUUGGCGUCGGAUUCGCACUCUACUUACAAAUUCCACGGAAGCCGGUUGUACAUACCGGAUUAAACCGAUAAAUUCCUUCAUCUGCAAGGGCUGCUGCCUCAGUGUAUAACACUGCUACAACAACAACAAAACCCCUUUUUUGAGUCCUGCAUUGGUUUGAUAAAUUUACUUCUGGGUUCAUACGAUUUUGGAGGUGCGUCAACACCUGAGACUUGCUCCCAAGUUCAGAUUCAUACUUAACUCACUAAUAGCUUUUAUUUGAGGAAAUCCGAUUCAGUCACCCAAUAAAGCUAUAUUCAAAAUUUCGGAGCUCUAACCCCUACCAUAAGUUCGUUUUUAUAAAAAGUAAAAAAUUAGUAAAAUCUGUGCUAACUAAAUACGAGGAUGCUAACACAAAGUCUUACCAAUUCAAAACAUUCCUUGACUAUUGAUCCGUGUCCGUAAAAAAUCAGUUGCAAGCUGUAUGAAUUCCACGAAAAUGGGCCAAAAUACCCGCAGAUUACGUCCAGUCUGGCACUUCGUUUUUUGACCGACUUAGAGCAGGUCAUAUCGCAAAAGUGAAUGGAUUUUGGAAUCAUCAAAAAACAUUUUUACACAAAAAAAUGUGACCGUUUGAAUGGGUAAAACUUCGUGUCAGCUAUCCGUUAGAUCUUAAUAUAGCUUUCUACUUGUACUAAAGAACAGAACUCUAAUUCUAUCUGUAAGAAAGUUGUUUAUGCAAAAUUUUACGAAAUGAGCUUCGUUUCCGAUAUUUGGCAUACAGUGCGGUAUCAUGCCAGAGAAGCGAAUUCUACCUUUUUUUGGGUUCGUCCGCCAGCGAUUAAAUGCACCCAAAAGAGGAAAAUGUUUGAUUUUUGUAUUGAAAAUACAUUUUAUCAUGUAUUUUUUAUUGAUUUUUAAUGGAUUUCUUGUAAGGAAACAUGUUUACAUCAAUAGAAAAAAUUAAUUAUAUAUAUUUUCUGUUUGCAUUAA
rnacentral:sRNA from 1 species